rnacentral:rRNA from 1 species
AACGAACGCUGGCGGCAUGCCUAACACAUGCAAGUCGAACGAGACCUUCGGGUCUAUUGGCGCACGGUUUCGUAACGCGUGGGAACCUUCCCUUAGGUUCGGAAUAACUCCCCGACAGGGGUGCUAAUACCGGAUAAUGUCUUCGGCCCAAAGAUUUAUCGCCUUUGGAUGGGCCCGCGUUGGAUUAGCUAGUUGGUAGGGUAAAAGCCUACCAAGGCGACGAUCCAUAGCUGGUCUGAGAGGAUGAUCAGCCACACUGGGACUGAGACACGGCCCAGACUCCUACGGGAGGCAGCAGUGGGGAAUAGUGGACAAUGGGCGAAAGCCUGAUCGAGCAAUGCCGCGUGAGUGAUGAAGGCCUUAGGGUUGUAAAGCUCUUUUACCCGGGAUGAUAAUGACAGUACCGGGAGAAUAAGCGCCGGCUAACUACGUG